GAUGAACGCUGGCGGCGUGCCUAAUACAUGCAAGUCGAGCGAAGCGGGGACGGGGGAGUACAAUGUGGAUAAACUCCUUUAAGGCGGGGAUAAAUUCGGGAAACCGGAGCCAAACCGGCUACUCAUAGAUGGUUCCGCGCUGUAUUAGCUAGUUGGUAAGGUAACGGCUUACAAAGGCAACGAUGCAUAGCCGAGCUGAGAGGAUGAUCGGCCACACUGGAACUGAGACACGGUCCAGACUCCUACGGGAGGCAGCAGUAGGGAAUCUUGCGCAAUGGGCGAAAGCCUGACGGAGCAAUGCCGCGUGAGUGAAGAAGGUCUUCGGAUCGUAAAGCUCUGUUAUUAGGGAAGCGGUACCUAAUCAGAAAGCCACGGCUAACUACGUGCCAGCAGCCGCGGUAAUAC
rnacentral:rRNA from 1 species